AGUGAACGCUGGCGGCAGGCCUAACACAUGCAAGUCGAACGGCAACACAGUAAGAUUUUGCUCUUACGGGUGGCGAGUGGCGGACGGGUGAGGAAUACAUCGGAAUCUACUUUUUCGUGGGGGACAACGGAGGGAAACUUACGCUAAUACCGCAUACGACCUACGGGAGAAAGCAGGGGAUCUUCGGACCUUGCGCGAUUGAAUGAGCCGAUGUCGGAUUAGCUAGUUGGCGGGGUAAAGGCCCACCAAGGCGACGAUCCGUAGCUGGUCUGAGAGGAUGAUCAGCCACACUGGAACUGAGACACGGUCCAGACUCCUACGGGAGGCAGCAGUGGGGAAUAUUGCACAAUGGGCGCAAGCCUGAUGCAGCCAUGCCGCGUGAGUGAAGAAGGCCUUCGGGUUGUAAAGCCCUUUUAUUGGGAAAGAAAAGAAGCAGGUUAAUACCCCGCUGUUUUGACGGUACCCAAAGAAUAAGCACCGGCUAACUUCGUG
rnacentral:rRNA from 1 species